rnacentral:rRNA from 1 species
UACGGAGGGUGCAAGCGUUAUCCGGAUUCACUGGGUUUAAAGGGUGCGUAGGUGGCUUGGUAAGUCAGUGGUGAAAGCCCGGAGCUCAACUCCGGAACUGCCUUUAAAACUGCAUCGCUUGAAUCCAGGAGAGGUGAGUGGAAUUCCGAGUGUAGAGGUGAAAUUCGUAGAUAUUCGCAAGAACACCAGUGGCGAAGGCGGCUCACUGGCCCGAUACUGACGCUGAGGCACGAAAGCGUGGGGAGCAAACAGG